rnacentral:rRNA from 1 species
CCUACGGGUGGCAGCAGUGGGGAAUAUUGCACAAUGGGGGGAACCCUGAUGCAGCGACGCCGCGUGAGUGAAGAAGUAUUUCGGUAUGUAAAGCUCUAUCAGCAGGGAAGAAAAUGACGGUACCUGACUAAGAAGCCCCGGCUAACUACGUGCCAGCAGCCGCGGGAAUACGUAGGGGGCAAGCGUUAUCCGGAUUUACUGGUUGUAAAGGGAGCGCAGACGGCUGUGCAAGUCUGGAGUGAAAGGCGGGGGCCCAACCCCCGGACUGCUCUGGAAACGGUAAAGCGGGAGUGCAGGAGAGGUAAGCGGAAUUCCUAGUGUAGCGGUGAAAUGCGUAGAGAUUAGGAGGAACACCAGGGGCGAAGGCGGCUUACUGGACUGCAACUGACGUUGAGGCUCGAAAGCGUGGGGAGCAAACAGGAUUAGAUACCCUUGUAGUC